rnacentral:rRNA from 1 species
GACAAACGCUGGCGGCGUGCUUAACACAUGCAAGUCGAACGGAGUGCCUUGGAUUGAGACUUCGGUCAAUUUCUUUGGUUACUUAGUGGCGGACGGGUGAGUAACACGUGAGUAACCUGCCCUUGAGAGGGGAAUAACACACCGAAAGGUGUGCUAAUACCGCAUAACAUAUUAAAAUCGCAUGGUUUUAAUAUCAAAGAUUUAUCGCUCAAGGAUGGGCUCGCGGCCGAUUAGGUAGUUGGUGAGGUAAUGGCUCACCAAGCCGACGAUCGGUAGCCGGACUGAGAGGAUGAACGGCCACAUUGGAACUGAGAUACGGCCCAGACUCCUACGGGAGGCAGCAGUCGGGAAUAUUGCGCAAUGGAGGAAACUCUGACGCAGUGACGCCGCGUAUAGGAAGAAGGUUUUCGGAUUGUAAACUAUUGUCGUUAGGGAAGAUACAAGACAGUACCUAAGGAGGAAGCCCCGGCUAACUAUGUG